CUUAUUCACCUGUCUCUGACCUGACUCCUCUUCCCUCGGGACGUCCUCCUGCAUAAGGCAAACGACGAUUUUAAAACUCCCCCCUCCCCCAUUUUCUCACCUCUUCAGUUCUUGCAUUCAGGGAUAUGUGUAUACGUUCCAGGUGACCUGCAAAGCUAAGAUAUUAUCUCGACUGGCAAGAACACUGAUUCACAAAAGCUGGAUCUUCUGUUCUACUACACUAUCACUCAUACUUAGAAGAGAAAACAAUGAAUGUGAGAAGGAUGGAAAGCAGGAGGUGACAUCAUAAUGUGAGUACUGGAUGGUUGUUUGCAGACUAAAGGAAUAAUCUGAACUCCUCACAUCCUCAAUGAUCCCAGAAGUCACUUGAUGACAUGAAACCUAGGCUCAACUAAAACUGUGGAGAGGCUAAAGGUGGCACCCCAUCAUACCUCACUUCCCUUUUAAAAUUUAUUUCCCUUGGGCGCCUGGGUGGCUCAGUUGCGUAAGCCACAGACUCUUGGUUUCAGCUAAGGUCAUGAUCUCAGGGUUUCAUGGGUUUGAGCCCCACAUUGGGCUCUGAGCUGGCAGUGCAGAGUCUGCUUGGGAUUCUCUCUCUCCUUCUCUCCCUGCCCCUCCCCUGCAUCCACUGUCUCUGUCUCUCUCAAAAUAAAUAAGUAAACUUUAAAAAAAUUUAAAAAAAAUAUUUCCGAAAAUCCAGGGCUGACCCACGUAAGCCAACCCUCUCAGGUUUGUUACUUUCUUCUUCUUCUUCCUUUAAAAUUUAGGAUUUGACCCUUCAAUCUUCUCUCUUUGCUUUUCCCCCACAAUAGCUCAGAUUAUCAUGGCUAAAAAUGUCAACUAAUGAACUAUAUUCAUGCAGUUAAAGCAUUUAACUUUUGAGUGUAUGCCAAUGGUAACAGCUUAAUAGUGGCCGUUUGGAGGCAAGCGCACAUAUUUACUGCCUAACCAAUUAGGCUUUUUAUGAAUUCCAAUCAAAAUGAAAGUUUCCUUAACGUCACUCAUGAUGCAAUCAUUCAGAGGCAGCCUUUAAAUUGUACCACAUAGGAGGCUACUUACUUGACUUGUAUAUAAGUACAUUUUGAUAAAAUGAGACCGAGCAGACUUUAUAUCCUACUUUGUGUCAAGCACUGCAAUGAUACACACUUUUGUUUGACUUGGAUUUCCAUUUAGAACUAAAAAGGUGGGGCGCUUGUGUGGCUCAGUCACUUUAGUGGCCAACUCUUGAUUUCGGCUCAGGUCAUGAUCUCAGGGUUCAUGGGUUUGAGCCCCACAUGGAGCUCUGUGCUCACAGUGCAGAGCCUGUUUUGGAUCCUCUGUCUCCCUCUCCCUGCCCCUCCCCUGCUCAUGCUUGUUCUCUCUCAAAAAUAAAUAAGCAUUCACAAAAAACAAUUUUUUAAAGAUAAAACUAAAAAGGCAAACAAUACAUUUAAAAACUAGCAUAUCUUCUUUAUUAUUGCAUGCAUUUUAAUAAACAUGGUACACAGGGACAUAAGUGACAGACUGGAUCAAAUAAGAUCUACAGUUGGGGCACCUGGGUGGCUCAGUCGGUUAAGCAUCUGAUUCUUGAUUUUGACCCAGGUCAUGAUCUCAUGGUUUGUGAUUUUUAGCCCUGCAUUGAACUCGGCACUGACAACACAGAGCCUGCUUUGGAUUCUCUCUCUCUCCCUCUCUCUCUGCCCCUCCCCUGCUCUCUUUCAAAAUAAAUAAACUUAAAAAAAUAAGACUUACAGUUUAAGCUCCAUCUACAGGAUGCAAACCUCAAGGUAAACAUAUUCAGCAUCACACAGAGGAAAGAGCUAAAAACAUAUCUUUUGCUAUUUUGACCCAAUUAGGGGGAAAAUGCAUCUUUCCUAAAAUACUAUUUUCCAUUAAAAAAAUAGCUAAAUAGCCCUCCAGCUUGUUAGUGUUCCUACCACCUUAUAAAAUUUGGCAUUGUAUAAUACAUCAGCUAUUGAAACAAUGGGAUGGAUUACAACUGUUUUACUUUAGAAAUGCUACAAGAGAGUCUGUCAAAAUAAAAGGGGUCAAGACUUGGCUCCAUGACUUGCAUGGAUUUGGUCAACAAUGAUAACAACUAACAAUUACUAAAUGUCCAUGAAGUACUAGGCACUGUGCUAAAUGUGCUACACAUACUAACUUAUUUAGUCUUGAUGAUGCCAACAAUUCUACAAGGCAGAUACAGUUAUCAUUCCAAUUUUAAAGCUAAGGAAACUAAUAUUUUGAGGAUUUAAACACUUGUGCAAACAGGGUAGAGCAGACAUUUGAACCUAAGCAGGAGAAUUUCAAACCCCACUUUCUUAACCUGUCAGAGCAUUUCUGAGUCUCAGUUUUCUUCUCUACAAAAAGGGUAUAGGGGGCACCUGGUUGACUCAGUCGGUUAAACAUCUGACUUUUUAAUAAUUUUUUUAAUGUUUAUUUUUGAGAGAGAUACAGAGUGUGAGUGGGGGAGGGGCAGAGAGAGAGACAGAGACAGAGAGAGAGAGAGAGAGACAGAAUCCAAAGGAGGCUCCAGGCUCUGAGCUGUCAGCACAGAGCCCAAUGUGGGACUCAAACUCAUGAACGGCGAGAUCAUGACCUGAGCUGGAGCUGGAUGCUUAACCAACCGAGCCACCCAGGUGCCCCUAAACAUUUGACUCUUGAUUUCAACUCAGGUCAUGAUCUCACAGUCAUGAGAUAAGGCCCCAUGUCAGGUGCCAUGUGGGUGUGGAACCUGCUUAAGAUUCUCUCUCUUCCUCUCCCCUCUCUCUCUCUCCAAAAAAAAAGCAUAAUAACAUUAGCAAGUUCAAAAAGUUACCUUUUACUGAGCUAAAUAUUUCAUAUGCCUUUUGUUUUGUUUCCUCUGCAAAUGAGAAUAUUACUUAUAUUGAUUUACCUGAACAGGCAUUGCCCAUAGAUUGGGACACAGGAACAAGAACCACAUGAGUUGAUUGGUUUCAAUGGCAACCAAGUUAUUGAUCUGUCCCAGGGUCAUCUCACCCAUGGAUAAAUUAGAUGUAGACAGCCUAAGAAUUUUAUUGUAUAUCAUGGCCUGCAAAAAAAAAAAAGUGUAUUUGAAGCUCUAAACUUAAUCAACAUUAUGUUUAUUUACUUCCAUUGAAAAUAUUACAUUUUAAAAAAAUUUUUGGAAAAAAAAAUCCCUGUAAUGACAUCUUCUUCAGUCAACCACUAUUUUCAUUUUAGCAUAGUUACUUUCAGUCUUUAGCUAAACACAAACCUAACUGGCCAUAUGAUCAAAACAUAUAUUUGACUUUAAACAUAUUGAAACAGAGAUCAUCAAAUGAAAGAUUUCAAAAGCUUUCUUAAUAUAUAUUAAUACAAAACUUUUUAAAAUUCUGUGGGUCUACUAAUUAGUUCUGUUUCUUUUAUCAAGUAGCUCCUAGAAGUGUUGAAGUUGCAGUGUCAAAGUCAAACAGAAAGAGAAACAAAACUGAGACCCCUACCCUUCCUGUCAUUGAAUGGCAUGUGGCAUUUUCAAGAAACAAAGAUCAUUCAAAGCUUGUACAUACCAGCAGAGCUCCACGGAGGUUAAUGCCAGUCUCUAUGGUUACAUAGUAGGAAGCCUGCAAAAAUGUCCUUUGCAGAAUAAGGGCCAAGAAAAGAAGAACUGCUAGUACAUAAGCAUUUUCAAGAAAUUCCUUUGAUGAAAGGGUUUCUGAAAUCUUGUCCCAAAAGAAAAAGACAUAAAUUAGAACUGGUCUUUUCAUAUACCAGGUGUACAGAUCACAUUUAUCAAACGAUACAUAAUUCUUAAAUAUAAAAACUCAAUGUCUUUAUAAUGCAGCAGUGGAAUGAGCCAAGGUAAUUUUGGUUUUUCUUCAUCAUGUCCACAGAUACAAAUUCAAACUAGUUCAAUGCAUAAAAUCCCAAAUUGAUCAUUAAGAUUGCUGGAAAUGCCUGAUUGUAGUAAAAAGGUAAAUUUUGAUUUAAAAAUGUACGUACAUUUUCAGAAAAGAUGUAUUUAGUCUUGAGAAGUAGUAAUUGAAGAUCAAAGUUAAUUUAGACUGUAAUUUAUUUGACUUAGUCUAAUAUUCACAUAAUUUAUAUUAAAUGAUAAAUGAUAAAUGUAAUUUGGGUAUUGAUUUCACCCAUGUUGACACUUCCAAUGACAAAACACAAUUUAUAAAAUUGUUUCAGUAGGAAUAUGACUGAAGUCAUCAUAAGGAUAUACAAAACUGAUUGCUUUUUGUUUGGAACAAUACUGUGUGGUAACUUGGUUAGAAGAGAGAGAAAGGUAACACUCAAAUAAGGACAUCAUGUCAGUUUGGGCAAUACUUUUGUGGGUUAGAUCCAUUAAAUUCUACUUCUGGUCCCUUCCUUUUCUUUCAUGGGUAUACAUACAAAUGUGUAAGUUCUUCCUUCUCAGAAAAAUGUGUGAUUAAUAUGUGUAAGGGAGAGGGAUGAUAGAAAAAUUAUAUGUGGAACUUAUGGAAUGCAAUGAGGCUAGUAGAGACAAAACAUCACAAAAGUGCAUUCAAUGGUGAAAAUAUCUGGUUCAUUUCAAGAUAACUGAACACUACUAUAUGCAAGCAAAAGGGCUACACAUUGUGAACACAGAUAUGAACAGUUCACAGUCAUUCUGUUUAAAGAGCUUACCACCCAGAGAGAUAAGCGUAUCCAUAAAUAACAUGCUUCCUUAUAAAUAGCAUUUACAGCAAGUGCCAAGGUGAAAUCAACAAUGUGUUGGAGAGUAUGAACGAGAGUCAAAUUCCAACCAGAACAAUCAGAAAAGCUUCAUGAAGAGAUGGCAUUUAAUGUAGGCUUUGAAAAAUGCAUGAAAUUUUAAUAGGUGAAGAAAAAAGGACAGGAAAUCAGAUUGAGAGAAUAGAAAAGGAAAAUUGAUUCAUCUAGACUAGAUUUUUCUAUCUGUGAAACUAGGGAAAUCAAUUCUUAUCUUAGAAAGAAACUAGGAAGUUCAUGAUGAGAUUUUCUUAAGAACAGAAAAUAAAAGACUAUAUUUACAACAGCAAAUAUGUAAUAUCUUAUACCAUAUAUCCCCACAAAUAUUAGCAUAAUAUCUAAUAAAAAUAUCAUAAUGCGACUUGCCCUUAUCAUUGUGAAUCAAGGUGAUGGUGUUUAUCAUAUAAGAAAAGAAAUAUGUAUAUAGUACAAAUCGCAUUGCUAACAUGAUUGGUCACAGGCCUCUAAAAAAAUGACUCAGCCAUCCCUCAUGUACUCAUGCAUGAAAAUUCUUCUAAGGGUUGCUAAAAAGAUCAAAGAAAAUAAUCAACGUGAAAUUCCUGAGCAUGGCUUCUGGCACACAGUUGAUACUUAUCAAAUGCCUGUAGGCUCUGAAUCUGAGAAAUAAUUUUGUUGAACAGAUCCAUUCAAUGAAUACAUAAAUACAUGAUUUUCUCUACAAGGAAAAUUGUUUUCUUUGUUUUAAAUGCAUUCAAUUCUCUGUAAAUAAGACUGUAAGAACUGUUCAUAGAACUGCAUUAAUAAAAAGUAACAAUUACAAUAAAAUCUGCCAAUAAUAUGUUCCCCUUCAAAAGCACCACAGACUUACUCCUGUUGUGUUAUUUGUCCCAUUCUGGGUUUCAUUCACACGCUGAACUAUU